GCUAGACCAACACAUGGGACAUGGGAUUUAAGCGCUUCUAUCUUGUUCUGCAGGAUGCUGCUGCUCAUCUGCCUCCAUGCUGAUCCCUGCAAAAUCCAGAGGGAGCCAGCUUCUUUAUUUCCAGCUGAAAGGCCCUGAUGACUGCGAGGAGUCUGCUUCACACCGGGUCAGGACGUAUUGACCGACCGCUGCUCUCCAAACUGGACCUGUUGUUCAGCGGACGGCUGACAGCAUCACUGGGUCUUGCUCCUGCUGAUAAUAGAAAUAAAGAGCAAAUACAUGUGCCAUUAACUUAGAAACAAAUAUUUCCUGCCUUUGCUUUCCUCAGUCAUACAUUUGUACCUCCUCACUUACAGACGUCGGGUUCAGAACAGCUCUGUACUCAGAAAGCUGGAGAUCACAGUGUGGAAAAGCCCCCAGCGAACUGGCAGAAACGCUGUCCCCCAUUACAGCAGCAGCAGGGGUCAGGCCAUGGCAGCAAGCAUCCAACCUGCCCCAAAUUGGCUGCAAAAUGACCAAUUACCUGAGUGAAGGCUGUGGAGAAAGAACUUGGACAAAUAUGGCUUUUACUUAAUUCAGCUAAACUGUCAAAUAAACUAGUGUCACAUUGACAUCUCAUACUUGUUACAUGUUACAGUAUCCCUUGUUAAGUGAAGAUCUUGGCAUCAAAAUCCUAAACUAAUAAGAAAAUCAAUUUUAAGGAUGAUCAAAAUGUAGUCGAUGUGAGUGAAUUGCAUCGGAGUAGAAUCCAUACAGCUAUAAGGUUGGGUAUUAUUUCACCAACAUCAAAACAAUGAUUGAUUACACAUCUUUACAUGUAGGUCUUAUUGAAUUAAUUUCCCUGCAAAUGGAAAACAUGCAAAUUCGCCAAUUAAGUCAUUUGCCCAUGGAGAGCCGUGCUGCUUGACGUUCAGCUGCCACUGCGCCUUUAGUCUGAAACCCCUUUUUAGAUUUGUUAAGAGUUAAGUCUCCAACAAAGACAGGAAGGAGGUCAGCACUCAGCCAACACCUGAAUGCGCCUCUCUUUUUUGUGCUCCCCUUGAUCCCCACGGUCUGUGCCUGUCAUUAGUCUUAAUGAUGGAAAAUUGUCAUGUUGAUACAAGUCUUGCUCUCCCCCUCUCUUCUUUGUAUAAGUAGAAGGUGGAAGCUUUAUUCGUAACAAAACCGUGGACACUGCAUUUGUGCCGGGGGAGAAAAAAAGGCUGUAGAUGCUCUUUCCAUAGCUGGGAUAAUUAUUCCUACUGUGACCUUAAUGAUUCGCUCUGUUCAUCCUGCAUCUCAUCCACGCGCCAGGCCCUCAGCGGAGCCCUGUGUCAGGGAAUAUGAAAAACCCAUAUAAUGAAACCAUUUUGGCUGAUGGAAAAAAAGGGCUACUGAAGCUGCACUUGCUACAAAGACGGCUCAAUUAUAUGAGUAAUUGUGAUAAUUUCCCCUCCAUUCACUGCUUUCUCUGAAAGGCAAAAAACACAGAAGCUGAAAGGGAAAUUACUUGGACAAUAUAUAAUCUGUGAAAUGGUCACAACAGAAAAAAAAGAUGACUGUAAGAAAGUGUAGGACUAUAAAUAGGUAUGUUAAUGCAGGGCAGAUAAACACACCCUCAGCAGCUCGCAGCACUACCCUGAGAGCCCAUGUGAAUAGAAAAGAACAUGCAACAAAUGACCAUUGAAAAAGCAUGAUAAAAGUAGAUAUGCAGCUGCCAGAAAAUUAAACCUCCUUCUCCUUCCAAUUGCCAAAUUUCAGCUCCUGAAAAUGCACCCCCAUAGUUGGCUAUCAUUUGUUGUUCUCUGACAGGAAAAGGAUAAUUACCUCUCUCAGAGGCAGAGGACUGACAUGCCCUUUAGGCUUUGCCAUGAAUGCAGAAGCUUGAUAGAAAGCUGGAGGAAUAAUUUUCUUCUUCGCCUUCCCUUUAUGUUCAAGAGCAUGUUUUGUUCAGGAGAACUUGGAGAUGGCAGUAUUGUUGAGUGCAUUAAACCAUGGGUGUUCAUACUGUAAAUAUGACAUCCCUGUGUCUAUCAGCUUCUCCAUUCGGGGGGAAAAACUCUGAAAUGCAUUAAUAUUUCAAUUUCAUCUCGACGGGAGACAGGCGAGAAAGUGAGAUAUGCAUUACUUUUUUCUUUCACAGUGGGUAUUGGAUUAAACAUUUCCUGUCCUUCGAUGGAAAAUAACCUUUCCGUCAGAUAGAAGUGAGGCUGUACAUUCAAGUUUGUUGAGAAAGAAAGCAUUGUUUUGUAGGAAGUGUGCAAAAUAUACAUCUGCAUGAAUGCAAAUGAACUCAUCACCACGUCUUGUAACAGCUUUACGUUCAGCACUAGAUAUAAUAGUUAGAUACAUAGACUAAUUGUUUUCCUCUUACAUGUUCUCUCAUCAUGCCCACCACCUCUUCCCCCCCCCCUCAGAGAAACCUCCCACAUGUACGGCCGCUGACCCCUCAGGCCCUGCAAUCUGGAAUAAAUCUUUCCAGACAAGCCGAGCGACAUUACAGCCUUGCAGCUCAAAUACUUGUAUCACACUCAAAUGAUGAGUCUCUGUCACACACCAUGUCAUCUGUCUCAGCCCAACCCUCCAAUAACUUCCGUCCCAUUGAGCAGCCUUGUGUGUUACGGAGGCCAAGACAGCCAGAGACCCCCCGGUCCUACCUGAUUGUGGCUCCUGUAACACGGGGAAGCAGCUUGGGCCCAACACCAGCCUAUACUCAGCAUUGCUUUUGUGUAGCACACAAACACACACACACACACACACAUGUACCCACAAACCCACCAAUCUCAAUUCACUGCACCCCACUGUGCACUUCCUGACAGCCUCCAGAAAUGUUUUCAAGUUGUCAAGUCUCUACAGUAAUAGUCCCGGCGCGGAGAAUUCAACAAAACAAUAAUCACAUGAUCAGACAUCUAGGUUAUGUAAAGACUGCCAGAAUAAAACUGUUUGGGUUUCUUCUUAUUUUCACUUUGAAAUCUGCCGUCAUGUUUUUACUAUUUGGUCACUUGGACACAAAUUGGCUGCUUAAAUUGUAUUAUUUGAGUUGCAGCAGCUGUUGUGAUAUUUGAACACACAUUUAUUAUUACAACAGGUUUAUUUAGGUGACAGUGGUAAGGGACUGUAGGAAAAUGAUUAGGGGGAGAGGGUAAUGUGUUUUGUCUUUUUGUUAUAGUCAGAGAAAUGUAACUUUUUUUUAAGAAAGUAAAGAGGGUUUACACAGCUUAAUAUUUCAUUUAUUUCUCAUGAAUAUCAGGCAACAAUAUCAUCUGAUAUCACCUUUAACAACAGUGAUAACAAUGGCGCAUUAAAAAGC